rnacentral:lncRNA from 1 species
CUUUCCUGUUAAGUGGGCACACUGCUACCUCCUUCACAGGGCUGCUGAGAAGAAAGGAGACAGGCGCAUCCGCACACAGAAAGCACUCAGUAAAUGCUGUUUCCCCCCUUCCCCCUAUACAAAGAGACUGAAAGCAACCGCGGCUGCCCGGAGGUCCGAACUGGAGGGUGGCCGCAGCCGUGACUUCCUUGGGAACCGCGCUGCCUCGACUCGGCUACCUCUCUGCGAAGCACUCGCUAAGCCGGGCAGCCCCGGGGUCGCUUAGCGGCCCAGGAGGCGCCAGCGAUCCUGUUCCCCUGCAGAGCUAUGGGGACCGGAAGGCGAAACAGAGCUGUCGACGCGGGAGCAUACGCUGCCCACCAGUGGAGCGCAGGUCAUCAAAGCCGAAUCCGAAUUUGAAUUCUGUGCGGCUGAUUGCAGAGCUGUCUUGAGGCCCUGAGGACUGGGAUCUGCGACCCCCAGUGGACAAAAGUCGACUCUACCCCAGAGGCUAAUUUUCUCAAGGCAGGCACCUGUUGAGAGGCUGCAAGUAAAAUACAGGGGAACGCUAGUUUCCGAGCUCAUGAGUGCACACAUGCUUCUGUCUUCACAUAUGCACAGCUGAAAGUGAGAUGAUUUCUCUACUCCACAGUUGGGAAGGGGGAUUAGACAACAGAGAAGAUGGAGAAGACAAAAGGGCUUGUGGAAAACUGCAAGUCAACAUUUCUUUGGUAAGGCAGUUACCACACAUGAGCACUGGCUGCCAAGCAAAGACUAUGGUUCACUGAAGAGAACCUGACAGGAGUAGCCACCCCUCUGUUUCAGGCAGUAAUUGCCAUGUGAGACUGUGAUGGUUGUCCAGAUCUUCUGAUUAUUCAAGUAAAGCUGGAAAUUUAGAUUUGUAUUUGAUCCCUCACAUCUUUAAAUGCAGGCAACUAAUUAAAAUUAAAAGAA